rnacentral:rRNA from 1 species
AUUGAACGCUGGCGGCAGGCUUAACACAUGCAAGUCGAGCGAGCGGCGGACGGGUGAGUAAUGUCUGGGAAACUGCCUGAUGGAGGGGGAUAACUACUGGAAACGGUAGCUAAUACCGCAUACCAUCAGAUGUGCCCAGAUGGGAUUAGCUAGUAGGUGGGGUAAUGGCUCACCUAGGCGACGAUCCCUAGCUGGUCUGAGAGGAUGACCAGCCAACCUGGAACGGAGACACGGUCCAGAAGCCUACGGGAGGCAGCAGUGGGGAAUGUUGGACAAUGGGCGCAAGCCUGAUGCAGCCAUGCCGCGUGUGUGAAGGAGGCCUUCGGGUUGGAAAGCACUUUCAGCGAGGAGGCGGUACUCGCAGAAGAAGCACCGGCGAACUCCGGGCCAGGAGCCGGGGUAAUUC